rnacentral:rRNA from 1 species
ACCCUCCAAGCCUAAGUACUCCUCAGUGACCGAUAGCGUAACAAGUACCGUGAGGGAAAGGUGAAAAGCACCCCGACGAGGGGAGUGAAACAGUUCCUGAAACCGGACGCUUACAAACAGGUGAAGCCCGCAAGGGUGACAUCGUACCUUUUGUAUUAUGGGCCAGCGACUUAGCGUGACGAGCAAGCUUAAGCCGAUAGGCGUAGGCGCAGCGAAAGCGAGUCUGAACAGGGCGUUCAGUUCGUCGCGUUAGACCCGAAACCUAGUGAUCUAGCCAUGUGCAGGCUGAAGGUGCGGUAACACGCACUGGAGGGCCGAACCGGUGUCCGUUGAAAAGGACUCGGAUGACGUGUGGCUAGGGGUGAAAGGCCAAUCAAACUGGGAAAUAGCUGGUUCUCCGCGAAAACUAUUUAGGUAGUGCCUCGUGCGAAUACCUCAGGGGGUAGAGCACUGGAUGGGCUAGGGGGUCCCACAGACCUACCAAACCUAACCAAACUCCGAAUACCUGAGAGUACUACACGGGAGACAGACGGCGGGUGCUAACGUCCGUCGUCGAGAGGGAAACAACCCGGACCUACAGCUAAGGCCCCUAAUUCGUGGCUAAGUGGGAAAGGAUGUGAGGAUCCCAAAACAACCAGGAGGUUGGCUUAGAAGCAGCCAUCCUUUAAAGAAAGCGUAACAGCUCACUGGUCUAAACAAGGGUCUUUGCGCCGAAAAUGUAACGGGGCUCAAGCCACGAGCCGAAGCUUAGGGCGCAGCAAUGCGCGGUAGCGGAGCGUUCCGUAAGCCUGCGAAGGGCGACCCGUGAGGGCGCCUGGAGGUAUCGGAAGUGAGAAUGCUGGCAUAAGUAACGACAAACAGAGUGAGAGACUCUGUCGCCGUAAGUCCAAGGGUUCCUGCGUAAAGUUAAUCUGCGCAGGGUUAGCCGGUCCCUAAGGCGAGGCCGAGAGGCGUAGUCGAUGGGAAUCACGUUAAUAUUCGUGAGCCAGUGGGUAGUGACGGAUGCUUACCGUCGUUCGGGAUUAUUGGAUUUCCCGGGCGGCCGCGGUGUUCCAGGAAAUAGCUCCCACAUCAGACCGUACCCGAAACCGACACAGGUGGACUGGUAGAGUAUACCAAGGCGCUUGAGAGAACUAUGCUGAAGGAACUCGGCAAUUUACCUCCGUAACUUCGGGAUAAGGAGGCCCAUGCCUUGCGCAAGCAGGGUGUGGGGGCACAGACCAGGGGGUGGCGACUGUUUACCUAAAACACAGGGCUCUGCGAAGUCUAAAGACGACGUAUAGGGUCUGACGCCUGCCCGGUGCCGGAAGGUUAAGAGGAGAGGUGCAAGCUUUGAAUCGAAGCCCCGGUAAACGGCGGCCGUAACUAUAACGGUCCUAAGGUAGCGAAAUUCCUUGUCGGGUAAGUUCCGACCUGCACGAAUGGCGUAACGACUUCCCCGCUGUCUCCAGCA